UACGGGGGGGGCAAGCGUUGUUCGGAAUUACUGGGCGUAAAGGGCGCGUAGGCGGUUUGCUAAGUUGACUGUGAAAACUCUGGGCUUAACCCAGAGCCUGCAUUCAAUACUGGCAGGCUAGAGUUCUGGAGGGGAUAGCGGAAUUCCUGGUGUAGCGGUGAAAUGCGCAGAUAUCAGGAGGAACACCGGUGGCGAAGGCGGUUCUCUGGGCAUUACCUGACGCUGAGGAGCGAAAGUGUGGGGAGCGAACAGG
rnacentral:rRNA from 1 species